CUCACUGCCACCAAAGCAGUGACUCAGGCGGUUCAUCCUUGGGUGUUUCAACACCAUUUGAGAGCCGGUCCAAAGGUUUCCCUCACUUUCUAAGCACACUCCCGCUCUGCCCUGGGCACAGUUACUGCAUUAUUACACAGGGGGAGGGGAGGAGAGCACAACAAACACCGUUUUCAAUAAAUUAGCAUCUUAAGCAGACACUAGCAGAGCCAACCCCUAAGGAGUCUGUGGUGGGUACAGAGCACAUGCCCAUCUUCGAGGGACAGGUCAGGACGGUGCCCUUGGCAUGAACGGUGGGCAUUGCUGGCCCUCAAUGCCUACCUUCUCAGGUAAGAACCAAGCCACAUCUACAGGGCUGCAGGCUGGCUCGUGGACUGUUGUACCAGCUCAUCGGCAGAGAGAGCCUUUCGCAUGGUGGAUCUGUCCUCUCAGCAGCACAUGUGAAGACCCCUGAGACCUUGAGCCUCACCAGGUAUCGUCAGGCACCAUGGCAGAGUGUCUCUGAGGAACCUAGAACACAAGCAAAGCCAAGUUUCCAUCGCAAACUUCCAAAGGUCUCGCUGUGUUUCCCUGGAUUCCUUGGAGUCUACGUAGACCAGACAGGCCUUGAAUUCAUAGAAUUCUAGCUUGCUUCUGCUUCCCUGGGCUAUGAUUAAAGGUGGGCCCCGCCAGGCCCCGCCCACUUAUGGCUUCUUUUUCGUAAUUUCUGGCAAGCCUUGCCCAUGGUCUCUGAGAGUUCAGCUCCUGCUCUUCCCACUUUGAUCCCUGGGCCAGACCUUCUUCAUGAGCACCUCAAGAAUCCACCAGAGCUCUAAAGAAGGCAACCCCCUCGCACCUGUGCGGCCUAUAUCCUUCCAUCGUUGGAUCACAAGACUGCCAUCUGAUUGGUCGUUUCUUCUUGUGAGAAUACUUUGGAAGUGAACGUUUUUGCAAGGACAAGCUCCAGUCUUUCUCAGGGUUUGAAGAGUUGCACAACCGUGUCUCUCAUGGUGCCAUCACUGAAGGGAAGACUCAGAAGGCCAUGUUGGUUCUCAUGGCCAAGGCUAUGGAUUAUAUAUAGGAGGGGUUUAGGAGUGGGGGUGACUAUAUCGAACUACUUAAAAUGUACAAGCCAAUGUUUUUAUGUUUAUAUUGUAUAUAUAUAUUUCAUAUUACAUAAAAUAUUAAAUGUUUGUAUUUAAUAUUCACAGGAGGAUAAUCCCUUCCAAAGUCAAACAUCUUUACUCCCUCAAGAAAAUAAAAAAUCCCUAUCCUAGCACCAGUGUCCUGUGUGUCCUGUGUGUCCCAGGAUUGUAUGUGGCUAUGCAUUUGCUGGGGUGAGAAGGAUUGGGUACUGUAGGGUUCUGUUUCUGACAUCAUUUAUUUAACAUUUUCAAAGUUCACCUGUCUCAGAAUUUCAUUCCUUUUAUGACUCCACUAUAUCCCUUGUACUGAUAUUCUACAUUUUAUUCAUUUACUUAAAGGCAACGGACCUUUGGCUGCUUCUGCCUAUUGGCUGAAAUGAACGAUGCUACCAUGACAGUUUCUGUGUGGCCACCUGCUUCCUUACUCUGGACACUCCACCUGGGCGUGAACUGCUAGGUCAUCUGACGACUGGGUUCAAUCAUUUGAGGAACUGCCAGGCUGGUUUCCAAGGCAGGGGAGCCAUUUCUAUUCUGAUGCUCAGAAAACCACUGAGCAGGAAGCUCAGAGGCCUGAGGGUGCAUGGCGCCAUCUUCCCAAUUCCUCCCUACAAACAGUUGUUCUGUUUCUUUCCACGAGACCUUCAGAUACAUCUUCUCAAGCGGCACGUUGACAGUGAGGUUGCUCAGCUUUCGCCUACGCACGGCGAAUAAAGUCUGGGCCCUCACUUGGGGCAAAGCCAUGAGCUUUGAGAUACUAGAGGCUUUGUCUAACCAGGCCAGGGCCACAUGGGCAAGUAGAACAGGACCCCAGGAUCUUAGCCAGAUCAGUCAGCAACUGGCAGGGACACAUGGGUGCACACCUCCUCUGCAGCAGCACCCCCCCACACACACACACUGUCUUCUCUAGCAUUAAGGGUCAGGUGAACCCUGUCCACACAGGGGGCAGGUAACCCAAGGUUGUUUCUCUGCUUUCCCUCAGCCUUUGUCCUACCAUCUCAGAAACCUAACACUUUAACAGGUACCUACCUACCCUGUGGCAUGUGACCUCAUAGCCACUUCCCUUAGCUUCUCUAUGGGCUCUGUUUCCUGGAUGCUGACCCUAUCACACAUUUUAAUGCUCUCCAGUACACAAGACAAACAGUGCUAUACCAGGACAUCAGGUGGUCUCCAAGCUCUGGCUACAAUGGGUAUAGACAACCGUGGAGCCAAAGACAGCUGCGGAGUGGAGGGUUACAAUCGGCUUUCUUGGCUGUCCUCCAGAUUUGGAUGAUAACCAGCAGCGACCUCUGAAGCCUGGCCAGUGGCUGGAGAUCCUCUAGCCUGCCCACCCCAUGGUUCCUGAGUUUGAAGCGUAUGCUUACAGUUCAGCUAUUGCCUGACAGGCUGGCUCUGCUGUUUCAGCGGGAGCCGGAGCCGGAGCCGGAGCCGGAGCCGGAGCCGGAGCCGGAGCCGGAGCCGGAGCCGGAGCCGGAGCCGGAGCCGGAGCCGGAGCCGGAGCCGGAGCCGGAGCCGGAGCCGGAGCCGGAGCCGGAGCCGGAGCCGGAGCCGGAGCCGGAGCCGGAGCCGGAGCCGGAGCCACCCCUUUUGACUCUGUCCACUCUAAACCUUCUCUCCACCCUGAUGUCUUGUUUUCAGUUUAGCUGUCUCCAACCUUGAUUUACAUCAACUUUAUCAAGCCCUCCUGGGUUAGCUCCUGGUCUGGCGGCUGGACACCUCUUCAGAGGGGCCAACCAUCCUGUUGGACCCCCAUGGCCACCAUCAUCUCUGAGUACUCUUCUGCCUCUGAUGCAAUGUGUGCCUUCCUCCUCUGUCAUCUCUAGCUGUCCUGGCUCUCCCUGCAGCCCCGACUGAGUCACUAGGCAGAAGCUGUCCCCAUGCUGGGGCUCACCAUGACCCCAUCCCACUAACAGUUGGCACCACCUCUCUCCUCGGCCUUCAUCUCCUAAGCCCUGUCAUUACAGGCUCCUGAUGUUACAUACCUUAGUAAUUUAUUCGCAGCAGAAGCACUACACAAGCACACUAAUGCAAACUUAGCAAGUUAAACAAGAGGGUAGAAAAAUAAUUCAAAACUCUACCACCUAAACACUGUUAGGGUUUUGAGCUCUUUCUUCUGAGGGUGCAUGUAUUGUGUGUGUGCAUGUAUAUCUGUGUGUGUGCAUGUAUGUCUGUGUGCGUAUGUCUCUGUGUGUGUAUCUGUGUGUCUGUAUGUGUCUCUGUGUGUGUGUGUGUCUAUGUAUCUAUGCAUCUCUGUAUGUGUAUGUCCGUAUAUGUCUCUCUUUUUGUGUCUGUGUGUCUCUGUGUAUCUCUAUAUGUGUGUCUGUGUCUCUCUGUGUGUGUCUCUGUGUGUCUGUCUGUGUCUAUCUCUGUAUGUGUGUCUGUGUUUGUCUGUGUAUGUGUGUAUCUCUGUAUGUGUGUUUGUCUUUGUCUGUGUAUGUGUGUAUUUCUGUGUGUAUCUCUGUAUGUGUGUCUCUGUGUGUUUGUGUG